rnacentral:lncRNA from 1 species
AAGGGUGCUUUGUUCAAAAAUCUGAAACUAGAGCUCAAAAUUCGAAAAAAAUGUCAAAAAAUGGGGGUAGGGUCGGCCUAUUCCAGGAGUUCUAGAGAAAAAUAAUGAGGGGUGUCACGGGAUAUGACUAUAUAAGGUCUUGUAGAGGAGAAACAGGCGCUUCUUUUGCGCUAGGUAUCGAAGGGCGCUAUGUUCAAAAAUCUGAAACUAGAGCUCAAAAUUUGAAAAAAAGGUCAAAAAUUAGGGGGGUCGGCCUAUUCUAGGACUUCUAGAGAAAAAUAAUGAGGGGUGUCACGGGGUAAGACUAUAUAGGUCUUGUAGAGGAGAAACAGGCGCUUCUUUUGCGUUAGGUAUCGAAGGGCGCUUUGUUCAAAAAUCUGAAACUAGAGCUCAAAAUUUGAAAAAAAGGUAAAAAAAUUAGGGGGUCGGCCUAUUCCAGGGCUUCUAGAGAAAAAUAAUGAGGGGUGUCACGGGG